rnacentral:rRNA from 1 species
CCUACGGGAGGCUGCAGUGAGGAAUAUUGGUCAAUGGCCGGAAGGCUGAACCAGCCAUGCCGCGUGAAGGUCAGUGCCCUAUGGGCGUUAAACUUCUUUUGUGCGGGAGCAAUACUGGUCACGUGUGGCCAGACGAGAGUACCGUACGAAUAAGCAUCGGCUAACUCCGUGCCAGCAGCCGCGGUAAUACGGGGGAUGCAAGCGUUAUCCGGAAUUUUUGGGUUUAAAGGGUGCGUAAGGUGGGAGGUAAGGCAGGGGUGAAAUGCCCCCGCUCAACGGGGUGAAGUGCCAUUGAUACUGGCUUGCUGGAGUGCGGAUGCGGUAGGAGGAAUGUGUGGUGUAGCGGUGAAAUGCAUAGAGAUCACACAGAACACCGAUUGCGAAGGCAUCUCACGAAGCCGCGAUUGACGCUGAUGCACGAAAGCGUGGGGAUCAAACAGGAUUAGAUACCCCGGUAGUC